CCUCAUUUCUCUGUGGUCAGAAGUUUUCUCUGUUGUCCAACAUAGUUGUCUUUGAUACAGAUCUUGUUCCCACCUCAGUGGCCAAAGAGAGAUGCAAUCAGUAACAACCUUUUAUGUACCAGUUAAAUGAGGGACCCUACAACAUAAAUGCUUCUGCUAUGGUUAUGAGGAACCAGAAUUCUGGAGGGUUUUCUCUGCUACAUAUUUCUCAUCUCGCCUCGGACAAGUCUGUUGGUCUUCGUAUGUUGCUGCCUCAAAGGGAUGCAAUGAGGCUUCCUGGAAAAGAGAACUUUGAAAACAUGAGCAGAAGAUGUCUGGUAAAAGCUGUAACAGGCUCUGACUGUCCAUACUAUGACAGCCAAUGAAUAUCACCUGCUGAUGAUUUACAGAUUCCUGGGAGAUGUGGUGUUGAGUCUCAAAGAGCUGGAACAAGAACGACUCAGCCAGUACGCUUCUCGGGAAACAGUGUAAUGUGUCCACCCACUUUGUGCUCUCCUAAUUUAGGACAUGUGUAGUGUGCAAUGAUGAACUGGCUAAGAGCUUAUGUUUCUGUAAAUCUUAUUCCACACCUUACAGAACAGCCUUGAUUGACCCCUUCUUCCACAAAAGUUCAGCCCAGGGUUUUCCAGCCCUCUUCUGGGGAGUGAGACAGAUGAUACUGGGCUGUUCACAAACAUACUUAGUUAGAGAGGAAAAUGCAAUGUUAUGUUGUUUUUGUUUAAUUGGGCAGCCUUUUCACGUUCUGUGAGCCACUUUUGCUUCCUUUCAGACUAUGACCAGUAAUUGUUUUAUCUCUUUUAAAAUGCAGUAAUUUAAUUAAGAAACCAAUCAGCAAUGUUGAAAUGAUCUUUGAACUAUUCCUCAUCGCUGAAGGAAAUUUUUGAGUGGGUUAUACAAGGAAGACUCUAUUAUGUAAACAGCUUUCUACUAAAAGGAUUCAACAUCUGAAAAAAAUGCAAGGGAAGAUGGUGUUGAGCUGGAAGAGUCUGAUGGAGCUUUGGAUAUUUUAACAUCCCCAGCCACAGGAGAUAAAGUUUCACUUUCUAUGUGCAGGUAUUUUUUUGUUCUUAUGAGUCACUGCAGCAUACACCUUACUGUAUGUAGUAUGUGCUGCAGCAUCCAGGAUGCAAACUCCUCUGUGCUUAAAAUUGUUUGCUCAUUGACACUUUGUAGAAGGGUAAGAGCUAACUCUCUGUUUUGAUUCUAAAUUAUAAACAAGAGAGAACUUUCUGGACAUUCUUCUGAAUGCAGAAUUGAAUGAGCAGGGCAUUGGUUGUAAAGAGAAUAAUAAUGACAAAGUCUAUAUCAUUCACUGGUUCGCUAAGAGGGAUAAAAUGGCAAUGUAUCAACAAUUUCUCACUCUUUGUUCCCUUUGCUUCCAGUUUUCCACCUCCUCCACUGCUCCUCUGGGCAUAACUGAAUACUA